rnacentral:sRNA from 1 species
GGAAGGAUCAUUAUCGAACAGAAUGUGAGAGGCAUGCGAGCGCUGUCGCUGACCCAAAAGUCGUGCACGCCCGAGUGUGUUCUCUCACAUGAUCAAUCCAUCUCACCCUUUUGUGCAUCACCGCGUGGGCACCCUUCGGGAUCGUCUCGGAGGGGGCUCGCGUUUUCACACAAAACCCCCCUUUUAAAAAAAGUGUAGAAUGACCUCAUUUAUGCGCUAACCCGCAAUCAAUACAACUUUCAACAACGGAUCUCUUGGCUCUCGCAUCGAUGAAGAACGCAGCGAAAUGCGAUACGUAAUGUGAAUUGCAGAAUUCAGUGAAUCAUCGAAUCUUUGAACGCACCUUGCGCCCCUUGGUAUUCCGAGGGGCACACCCGUUUGAGUGUCGUGAAAACCUCAACCUCCUUGGUUUCUUCUGGAGACCAAAGCAGGCUUGGACUUUGGAGGCCCUUUGCUGGCACCUCUCUUUUGAAGGCCAGCUCCUCUUAAAUGAAUUAGCAGGGUCCUCUUUGCUGAUCCUCGACGUGUGAUAAGAUGUUUCCAUGUCUUGGUUUCUGGCUCUGUCACCUUUGGGACCCGCUUCUAACCGUCUUGACCUUGCAUCGAGACAACGUUCGAGCAUG